UACAGAGGUCCCAAGCGUUGUUCGGAUUCAUUGGGCGUAAAGGGUGCGUAGGCGGUGCCGUAAGUCGGAGGUGAAAUCUCGGGGCUCAACCCUGAAACUGCAUUCGAUACUGCGGUGCUAGAGGACUCUAGAGGAAACUGGAAUUCACGGUGUAGCAGUGAAAUGCGUAGAUAUCGUGAGGAAGACCAGUGGCGAAGGCGGGUUUCUGGAGAGUUCCUGACGCUGAGGCACGAAGGCCAGGGGAGCAAACGGG
rnacentral:rRNA from 1 species